GACGAACGCUGGCGGCGUGCCUAACACAUGCAAGUCGAACGGAAAGGCCCUGCUUUUGUGGGGUGCUCGAGUGGCGAACGGGUGAGUAACACGUGAGUAACCUGCCCUUGACUUUGGGAUAACUUCAGGAAACUGGGGCUAAUACCGGAUAGGAGCUCCUGCUGCAUGGUGGGGGUUGGAAAGUUUCGGCGGUUGGGGAUGGACUCGCGGCUUAUCAGCUUGUUGGUGGGGUAGUGGCUUACCAAGGCUUUGACGGGUAGCCGGCCUGAGAGGGUGACCGGCCACAUUGGGACUGAGAUACGGCCCAGACUCCUACGGGAGGCAGCAGUGGGGAAUAUUGCACAAUGGGCGGAAGCCUGAUGCAGCAACGCCGCGUGCGGGAUGACGGCAUUCGGGUUGUAAACCGCUUUCGCCUGUGACGGAGCGUGAGUGCCGGUACUGGGUAAAGAAGCACCGGCUAACUACGU
rnacentral:rRNA from 1 species